GGGUCUAACUGGCCAGUUCGACGAUGAAGCUUCUAGCUUGGCUUAGAAGUGGAUUAGUUGGGCGCACGGGUGAGUAAUGCAUAGGUUAUGUUGCCCUUUAGUCUGGGAUAGCCACUGGAAACGGUGAUUAAUACUGGAUACUCCCUACGGGGGAAAGGGGCUUUCAAUAAAGAAUUUCUCUUUUUAGCGUUUUGUGUUGUUGGCACAAAAUUCUAGUAUUUGGAAUGAGAAAUUGAUGUUGUGAAGCAAUUUGUGCGGAGACUAGACUUAGUGUCUGUCGCACAAGCAAAUUGCGAACUCAUCGAUUUAUCGUCCAAAGACGAAUUUUUUAUUGAAAGCCUUCGCUAAAGGAUCAGCCUAUGUCCUAUCAGCUUGUUGGUGAGGUAAUGGCUCACCAAGGCUAUGACGGGUAUCCGGCCUGAGAGGGUGAUCGGACACACUGGAACUGAGACACGGUCCAGACUCCUACGGGAGGCAGCAGUAGGGAAUAUUGCUCAAUGGGGGAAACCCUGAAGCAGCAACGCCGCGUGGAGGAUGAAGGUUUUAGGAUUGUAAACUCCUUUUGUAAGAGAAGAUUAUGACGGUAUCUUACGAAUAAGCACCGGCUAACUCCGUGCCAGCAGCCGCGGUAAUACGGAGGGUGCAAGCGUUACUCGGAAUCACUGGGCGUAAAGAGCGCGUAGGCGGGUGGUCAAGUCAGAUGUGAAAUCCUGUANCUUAACUACAGAACUGCAUUUGAAACUGAUCAUC
rnacentral:rRNA from 1 species